AGUCUCACAGGAGAGAGUCAGGAUCAUAUACUAAAGUUGAUCUUGUAGAUUUAUUUAGAAGUGAUACAUUUAUAACAGAAUGGCUAUUAGAAUAUAUAAUAUUAAGUAAAAUAGAUUUUUGACAUUCUAUUACUUCUUUUUUGUGUCUGUUAAUGAGCGACUGUCUCCAGGUAAAUGAUGUGAGUGUGUUUGCAUAUUGAUCAGAUGCUUCAGUGCUCUGAGAGUGUUUAUAGUGCUGUGAGUUUAACACUUCAUCACUGACACACACAACAAUCUUCAUCAACAUGACCUUCAUCAUCAUCUUCAUCUGGACUCUCACAGCGUUUGCUCAAGAGUGUAGAGGACAGAUCAGCGUCACUCAGAGUCCCUCAACGACAGCAGCUCAACCAGGAGAAACAGUGAAGAUCAACUGUAGAACCAGCAGUGAUGUGUAUUCGAUUGGUUCAGCUCAUUUUUUAGCCUGGUACUUACAGAAACCUGGAGAAGCUCCUAAACUCCUGAUUUAUUAUGCAAGCAGCCGUCAGUCAGGAACUCCAUCUAGAUUCAGUGGCAGUGGAUCUAACAGUGAUUUCACUCUGACCAUCAGUGGAGUCCAGACUGAAGAUGCUGGACAUUAUUACUGUCAGAGUUACCACAGUGGUUAUGUGUUCACACAGUGAUUGUGAGUUGUACAAAAACCUGUGUCAGUCAGAGUCACAGUGACUGAACUGAUGCUGCAGCUGCUUAAAGGAGGAUCUGAAACAACAUCAUCACACAA